CCUAUACCAAGGCAAUAACUUAAUGUCCUUCGGAUUCCACUAUAAACUGUAUGUCCCUUAGUUGCCAUUAGCUGUUUGGGCUAUUAAUUAACAGCUGUGUCUAAGGAAUGUCAGUCUUAGUCACUAACAAGACUACAAGAUCGCUCCACUCAUCCUACACUCAUCUCCAUUCAUACUUGGCUUAAAAUACCUACUUUGUAUGGUCGCCAAGUAAUAAGAAAGAAAGUAGGCCUAUUAAAGAAAUACAUUCAUUGGAAUGAGUCUAGGACGUAAACUUAAGUGCUGUCAAAUAUUCUAGAGCUGUUUGUAUUUGGUGUAAGACUAGACUUGGAUUAUAUCAUUCAUUGCUGAUGACUUCAAUGUUAGUUUUAUAGAUGAUCCUGGAGCAAAGGCUGUAAUUUAACCUGAACCCAAAUUGGUCUCUGUUUUAAAUAUUGUCUUGAACCAAUAAGUUAAGAGGACUAACUUUUCUGGACGACAUUGCCAUCGACAUCACUGCAGAUGAGAGAGAAAGAGAGACCAGAGUUGUGUACCCUGGAGGCAAUUACCAUACUGCUGUGAUAAUGUUCCUUGGUCUAACCAUAACUUAAGUGAGAGCUGAAGCCUACCAGUAAAAUGGGGGUGUUGUAAUUAAUAUCCUCCGACACUGGAGAAUACAGGGGAGAGGUGUCAGAGGAAGAGGAGAUGGAGGAUGGGGCCAGUUUAAGACUAAGAUUGAAGAAAACUAACUUAUGGCCUGAUGACAGGGUGGAUGGCGAUGGAGGCAUGUAGGUUGGGGGAGAGAAGGCUGAAGAAGUGAAGACAAAUCAGUUUAGAUUCAUUAUAAUGAUUAGUUUAAUAUUUAUUUUGAAUACCAGUAUACUUUUAUUCAAUUUUUUUCCUCAUUUAGAUUAUUUAAUUAAGAAAAUUUUAUUAUUUUUAUAAAGAUGUUUUCUUAAAUUUUUAAUAUUUGUUUGUACUUCUGCCUGGUAAAAAACAAAACUGUUUAUUAUGUUUGUUAAAAUGAUUAGGCCUACUUCCACUAAUGGACCUUGUCUUGGGUGAAAAGAGAUAUCUUGAUAUUUAACUAGCAGGGUGCCUGUUUUAUCUAUGGGCGGGGAUCGUAUAAGUCAGUUGAAA